UACGUAGGGGCAAGCGUUGUCCGGAAUUAUUGGGCGUAAAGAGCUCGUAGGCGGUUUGUCGCGUCUGCCGUGAAAGUCCGGGGCUCAACUCCGGAUCUGCGGUGGGUACGGGCAGACUAGAGUGAUGUAGGGGAGACUGGAAUUCCUGGUGUAGCGGUGAAAUGCGCAGAUAUCAGGAGGAACACCGAUGGCGAAGGCAGGUCUCUGGGCAUUAACUGACGCUGAGGAGCGAAAGCAUGGGGAGCGAACAGG
rnacentral:rRNA from 1 species